rnacentral:rRNA from 1 species
GACGAACCGUGCGAACGUUAUUCGGAAUCACUGGGCUUAAAGGGUGCGUAGGCUGGUUGCCAAGUCUGUGGUGAAAUCCUCCGGCCUAACCGGAGAACUGCCGUGGAUACUGGCGACCUCGAGGGGGGUAGGGGCUUGCGGAACUGUGCGUGGAGCGGUGAAAUGCGUUGAUAUGCACAGGAACUCCGGUGGCGAAGGCGGCGAGCUGGACCCUUUCUGACGCUGAGGCACGAAAGCUAGGGGAGCAAACGGG